UACUUAAUGCCUCGCCAGCUUACUUGUAUUAUAAUAACCCCGAAAAUGAACCCGAAAAUACAUUCAUUCGGAAAAUAGUAGUGAUUUGUGAUUGGUUAACGGUCGAAUCCCGAAGAUCAGAAGUUAAUCUAGUAAACGACAUAAUAAAGCACUUAGAUACCGCAGCUCAAAAAUUGGAUGAAAU